GUCACACAGGUAACACUUGUUUUUUGUUAUAUUACACACUGUGGUGAAUGCUGAGCAUAAUUUUAAUUGGCCUAAUUUUGAAGACUUGACACAGUAUUGAAAUGUGGUACAUUGAUUGCAUUUACACAAGGAGUUACUACUGAAUUUUUUCUCAGGAAGAAUCUUAUAUUCAUCCUGACCUUAGUUUUUCAUUUCUUUUUUAUUGCUAUAUGUUAGAUGUUUACAUGUAACUCUUCACCUGCUGGAAUUUAAAGUGAUCAGCCUUUGCCACCAGUAUAGAACCAGGCCUGUUCUAACCAGAUGUGAAAGGUCACACGCGACUAGUUUUGUUUAUCAAAUUGUGUGACACUUUCCUUUCUAUUUAUUCCUUACAUUUUUAUUAAAGCUACAUUAAAUAAAUUUCAUAAAAACAGAAAUGGCGACAUUUUAUUAAUAAAUUUCAUAUCGACUCCAGAUUUUAUUUUGGUGUCAAGACAACCAAAAUAAGUUUUAUAAGCAUAAAAAAUGGGCAACUUCAUUGUGGCGAAAUCGGAAGUACAAUAAUAAUCAUUUCUGUUUGCUUGAGAAACUUCCGCUUCAUAUCAUCCGUACAUCAAUAUUAAAUCAACAAACAUGACUAUAUGCAGGAGUCCUAAUCUAACGGUAUAUUUCCGCAUUGUAACAGAUAUUUUCAUACAAAUUUAAUCCUUUUUAUGAGAUGAUUAAUUUUUUCUGAACCACAGGCCUAGUGCACCCUGAAGCUAAAACGGUAAAAGUGUGUUUGCACAAGAAAAUCUCACAUUUACUGUGUUCCGGACAGCAACUAUAACACUGUGACGUAGCGCAUACACGAGCUAAUUAUUGUCUUCAUUUGCAUCUUAAAAUUCGUAUACGAACUUUAGUGUUACCGUGGGGUUUUCCGUUUAAAACCCUAAUUUAUUAACAAUAUUUGAUGAGAUUUACAACAUAACUGUUGAAAGGGUUUAUGAAACUGUAUAAUGCUUGUUUUUUAGGCCGACGGCAAAAUAUUUUUACAUAUUUAUUUAAUGUAACUUUAAGUUUCUACUAAAAAUAUAUACAUAUAAUAAUAAUAUAUAAAUGUUACUCCAUCUAUACAUCAAAACAUAUACACGACAAUACGUAUUGCAAUAUAUUGCAAUACGCUUCAGCAAAAUGGCAAUAUAUUGCAAUACGGUUUUUGCUGUAUUGUUACACCCCUACUAGUAAUCCAUAUGAAAUACCUAAAAUUUGUGAAAAUGUGCAAUAUGAGCUUUUAUUUGGCCUUGUAAUUGCAUGGAAAUAUGGUAAUUAAAAUAUUGAAUUCAGUUAUAUUUUGCAAAAAGCAUUUUGGCACUAAAUAGAUUGGGAGAUAUUUCGACAAUUCUCAAGUUUUCUUUAAAUUUGAAAUCUUAAGACUUUUAGUUUUGAAGUCAAAUGGUGGAAUACUUCAUAUAUAGAAAAGAUUAAAAGUGCUCUUUUUUUUGGGAUUAGAUUUUUAAUUUUUUGUUUAAAUCCUUUCAUGUUUAUCUAUUUUAUAAUGAAUUUUAUCCUUUUUUUUCAAAGUUAAUUGUGUACAGUUAUUGCUUAUGUAACUUUUUUAAUAAAAUUACACAUUUUCAAAUUUUGAACAAUGCACUUGCUGUUUUCAUUCCAUGUGAUAUUGUUAUUAUGUUACUUUAGAGAGGUGGGGAGAAAGUUUGAGUCAAAGAAUGUGCGGGAAUAUAAUAUAUAUGUAUUAUAUAUGUAUAUAUAUAUUGGUGUGUAGGAAAUGAGUUGACAUGAUGUACAGAAUUUUUCAUUCUUGCAGAUUUUUUUACUUAGAUCAAUAAUGAAAAUUGCUUGUAAGGAGCAGUACAUUAUUUGACAUUUAAAUUGUUUGCAAUGGCGUGUGAAAAGGUUAUGGAUAAAUAUCAGUUUUAUCCAGGUAGGAGGGAUGUCUAGAUUUACUCCUUAUAUGAUUAAACAGUGUUUGUGUAACUUUAAAGGGACUCCACUGAGGUUUAAAGGGACUACACUGAGGUAUUUUGACAAAACGGGACUGUUUAAAAUUAAUCAUUCAUUCAAUGUAGGUCUAGACCAAUAACUUGUGUGUAAAAUUUUAGAUCAUUGACCUACUCCAUUUUUCAAGAAUAAUCCCUCUAAUUGUAAAAAAAUGACCCAAAACUGAAAAACGUCACAACUCAAAUCAGGCAUAGAAUAGUACAAAUUAUUAUUAUUUACUUUAUUUCUGAGUAUAUUUCUUAAUUAACAUUUGGAUAUCUCUGUUUUAGGGCCCCAAAUGAUCUAUAUAAGAAAGUGAAAUUUUAUGAUUUUAGGCUCUCAGUGAAGCUCCGUUAAUAGAUACAAUGAAGAAGUUACUUGAAACAGUUCCAUAUAUGAUCUAUUUUAUAAAUGAAAAUAGUUUUAUUAUGUCUGAAAUAUGUAAAGUUCUGACUUUUAUAAACUCACAGAAUGUUGUACUGAAAUAGGAUAAAUGUUUAUUAUAGAUGUAUAUUUCUCUUUAUUGUUCAUAUGAAGACCAGUCAGUGAUUGUUACUAUAUAUAGAUUUGUGUUACUAUAAAUAGAUUUAUAUUGUAGUAUUGCUGGUCACAAGAUAUUAUUCACUAGAUUCAUAUUGUGUGUUGUAUUUAUUCUUUACUUCAUUAAAAAUCAUUGGUUUUUCUCUUGCAUACUUGUAGUUCAAAAUCCAAAGAGCGAAUGUUUCUUGCAUAAUUGUUCUCUAUUUUUAUAUUGUGUACAUGUAGAUUUUAACAUAAGGUAGCAUGGUGUUCAGUCGAUAUUUAUUACUGUCAUAGAAUGUUGUUGGAUGACUUUAAUUUGAUUGGAUGAUUUAGCUUGCACUGUAAGACUGAUAACAGAAGGGUUCGGUCUAGGUUGGAUCCGAAAAAUUAAGAUUUGUUAGUAAGAAUUCAAUUUUUUUUCUUGCUAUCAUUAUUCCACAUAUAUUACAUUGAUAAUAGUUUUAUACCCUUUAAAAUUUUAAACUCAAAAAUAAAACAGAAAUAUAAAAUGUACAAGCAAAGUUCUAGACAUUUAUUAUGAAAACAGACUUUUUGUGUCGCCUUGAAAAGGUGACAUAUAGGGGUUACUUUUGUCGGCGGCGUCUGUGUUGGCGUCGUUGUCGACGUCGGCGUCCCUUAAAGCUUGUCCGGAGCAUAACUCAGUCACUAUAAGUCUGAUUGACUUCAAACUUGGUAUGCAUGCUUCUUUCAAUAACUCGAAGUGCAGUGCACAAGGACCGGUACUCUGCAGUUCUUAUUUUUUGAGUUAUUGCCCUUUGUUAAUUUACAUACUUUAAUUUUGUCCGGGCCAUUUCUCUUCAACUAAAAAAGCUAUGGACUUGGAACUUCAUAGGAUGAUAGAUCUCAUUAAGAAGAAAUGCAGUGCACAAGAACCAGUACUCUGCACUUCCUAAUUUUUGAGUUAUUGCCCUUUGUUAAUUUUCAUACUUUAUUUUUGUCCGGGCCAUUUCUCCUAAUGUGUAAAAGCCAUGGACUUGAAAAUUCAUAGGAUAAUAGGUCUCAUUAAGAAGAAGUGCAGUGCACAAGAACUGGUACUCUGCAUUUCUUAUUUUUUGAGUUAUUGCCCUUUGUUUAUUUUCAUACUUUGAUUUUGUCCGGGCCAUUUCUCCUUAAGUAUAAAAGCUAUGGACUUGAAACUUCAUAGGAUGAUAGAUCUUAUUAUUAAGAAGUGCAGUGCACAAGAAUCGGUACUCUGCAUUUCUUAAUUUUUGAGUUAUGGCCAUUUGUUAAUUUUCAUACUUAAUUUUUGUCCAGGCCAAUUUGCCGAAAGUAUAAAAGUUAUGGACUUGAAACUUCAUAGGAUGAUAGAUCUCAUUAAAAAGAAGUGCAGUGCAUAAGAACUGAUACUCUGCAUUUCUUAUUUUUGAGUUAUUGCCCUUUGUUGAUUUUCUUACUUUAUUUUUGUCCUGGUCAUUUCUCAAGUAUGAAAGCUAUGGACUUGAAACAUCAUAGAAUGAUAGAUCUUAUUGAUAAGAAGUGCAGUGUAUAGAAACUGCUGCUUUGCACUUAUUAUUUUUUUAGUUAUUGCCCUUUGUUAUUUUUCAUAUUUCAUUUUUGUCCUGGCCAUUUCCCCUAAACUACAUUGUUCACAAGGCGACACAUCCGACUCGCGGAGUUCUAGUUUUAAUGUAAAUAUAGGUGCAAAAAUUAUUUCAAAGUUCAUACUCUUGCAUAAUCCACACAAUUAUGUUUUUGUUUAUGUUUUGAAACAUGGAUUUUACCUUGAUUUUCCUUUACGAAAUCUCAAUACAUUAUAAGAUAUGAAAGAAACAAUGUAAUGGGUCAGAAUAUAGUAGAGGAAUUUUUUUUUGGUGGGGAUGGGGAGUAAGGAAUGAGGGAGGGGGAGUAGGGAAUGAGGGAGGGGGAGUAAGGAAUGAGGGAGGGGGAUGAGAGUUGAGUUGUGAGGGGUUUCAAAAAUGUGUAUUUAGCCAAUGACACUGUACUUGUAACAAAUUUUGAAAAUUGAUGCAAAAUUUAAAAGAACUUUGUUAACAGAAACAGAGCUAUUGCUUUUUAGCUCGACUAUUCGAUAAGAAUAAGUAGAGCUAUUGCAGUCACCCGAGCGUCGGCGUCGGCGUAACCACUUAUGUUAAAGUUUUUGUAAUAGUUCAAAUAUUUUCAAAGUCCAUUGACAUAUGGCUUUGAAACUUUGCACACUUGUUCACCAUCAUGACCCCAACCUGUACACAGGAGGAGGUAACUCUAUCAAGCAUUUUGACAGAAUUAUGCCCCUUUUUUGACUUAGAAUUUACGUUAAAGUUUUUGUAAUAGUUCAAAUAUUUUCCAAGUCCAUUGACAUAUGGCUUUGAAACUUUGCACACUUGUUCACCAUCAUGACCCCAAUCUGUAGACAGGAGGAGGUAACUCUAUCAAGCAUUUUGACAGAAUUAUGCCCCUUUUUCGACUUAGAAUUUACGUUAAAGUUUUUGUAAUAGUUCAAAUAUUUUCAAAGUCCAUUGACAUAUGGCUUUGAAACUUUGCACACUUGUUCACCAUCAUGACCCAAACCUGUAGACAGGAGGAGGUAACUCUAUCAAGCAUUUUGACAGAAUUAUGCCCCUUUUUCGACUUAGAAUUUACGUUAAAGUUUUUGUAAUAGUUCAAAUAUUUUCCAAGUCCAUUGACAUAUGGCUUUGAAACUUUGCACACUUGUUCACCAUCCUGAUCCCAACCUGUAGACAGGAGGAGGUAACUCUAUCAAGCAUUUUGACAGAAUUAUGCCCCUUUUUCGACUUAGAAUUUACGUUAAAAGUUUUUGUAAUAGUUAAAAUAUUUUCAAAGUCCAUUGACAUAUGGCUUUGAAACUUUGCACACUUGUUCACCAUCAUUACCCCAACCUGUAAACAGGAGGAGGUAACUGUAUCAAGCAUUUUUUUACUAUCAAGCACUUAGAAUAGUCGAGCGUUGCUGUCCUACCGACAGCUCUUGUUAUAUUUGAUAGGUUUUAUUUUAAGGAAAUCACUGUAAUAACAACAAGUUUUUACUUCCUUUUUUGUGGGAUAAUCUUAAACUUAGAAUGGAGUGUAUGGACUGUUCCAAAAUCUCAGUGUAUAACAGACAUUUUUCUAAAAAAAAACAAAAACAAGGCUGAAAAAAUACAGAUUAUUUGAUUUCUCAAUCUGAAAUUUGGGGAAAAAAGUUGCUUUAAAUAUUGAUAUAGUCAUUAUGACGCUUGGUUAAUGGUUACAUUAAACUAAUUCUAACUGUAUUUUAUUGCAUGCAAUCAGUAUAGAUAAAAGGCGAGUUUGCACUUAUUCAUGUGGUGUCACCUGUUGUGUUUAGCUUUUUGAUAUUUAAACCUUUUAAGCAAGCAAUUAAUGGACUAAUCCAAAAUCAAAGCAGUCAAGAAAAAUUUUACAAAUUAGGCAGAUUAAAAGUUAAAUUGAAAUUUGCUCAUUAUCGCCAUAAAGUCUUGAAUUAUAAUAAUUGUCAGCCCAAUUUGAGAUAUAAAGAAAACAGAAACUAGAACCUGGUCUGCUGUCUAGAGAAAACCAAAAAAACUGUAUUUUUUCCAGCCCAUUGUUUUGAUUUUCUUUCCACCAUUAACUGUCAUGUUUAUUUAUUCUAGUCUGUAAUGUAUGAUUGUGAAUUUAUCUUUAUAUAUAUACUGAAAAUAAAACAAAAUUUUACCAAAA